AAUUAACUUUGUGUUGGUCUACCGGUGUAAAAGGCUCUUCACAUGAUUCUAAACAAUACAGCCAGUUAACCAGCUGACAAACAGAAGUAAACAGCUGCUUCCUGAAAAGGGGGGAGAGAGGAUCAGAGAAAAGAGAUAUAAGAUCGACAAGUUGAAGCAUCCUGAGUCAGCAGAAAAACUUUCUCAAGAAGUCCUGGCUGUUGUGGUAACAGAAGUUUCCUAGGAAAUCCUAGACAAUGCUGAAUCACACACAUAAUCACAGAAUGGUUUGCAUUGUCAGGAACCUCUGGAGGCCAUCUGGUCCAACUCCCAGCUCAAGCAGGGACACCCAGAGCUAGUUGCCCAGGACCAUGUUGGGGUGGCUUUUGGAGAUCUCCAAGGAGGGAGGUUCCAAAACCUCUCCGGCUAACCUGUGCCAGUGCUCACUCACUCAUACAGAGGCAAAGGGGUGCUGUUCCCCUUUCUUCUCAAUGAAGCUUUUGAGUCAUUGAGGAGGCUUUUUUUUUUUUUUUAUUUUUUUUUCCCCACAGAAUAUGUUCAAGGGAAGAACAUUUUCCAACCUUACACCCACAGCAUUUCUCAUCUUCUGGGCCUGAUGUGGAGUAGGGAUCUUAGAGUCCAUAAAUAAAACUAUAAAAAGCCAACUUGCUUUGAGAUAACACUUUACUGAGUCUGUGAGACAAGAGUUAGAGGAAAUAACACACUGCAGAGGAUGUCCAUGGUGCUCAGGAGAAUUUGAUAAGAAUGCUGCCAC